rnacentral:lncRNA from 1 species
CGAAACCCCUGCGGUAGUCUGUACAGCUGAAUUCAUUGAUUAAAAGUCACUCUAGCCGGAGUCACUACAAUGACCUAUACGGCAACAUACUGCACAAGAGUUGGAACCAAAUGAAAAGGUCUAUACGACAAUAAUGGGUGUAAUAAAAUCAUGCUUAAUACUACUCUCACAUAAUAGCUGGGCGAUAAAUCGCUAGUCACCUACGAGUCGGAACCAUAAAUAAGGUCUGUAUGACAAGACUGUGCACCUAAAUUGGAUCCAAUAUGAGCAUAUGGUGCGAGAGGUGACAUAAUAAACAGGCAUGUGCCAUAUCUAUGGCUAAAUUACAAUCACCCUAAGUGCAGUCUUAUGAGCUCAACAUUAUUCAAUCACAUAUCACGUAUCACAUCAUCGAUGAUUCACAUAACCAAACACAACUUACUUGAGCUUACCUAAGCGUCCAUAGCACCACAUUUAUAUAUAUAAAGCAUGACAUACCAAUUCAUAUAUGAAUUAUAAACUUAUAUGCAUGGCAUUUAUGGCAUAUUAUCAUUUAAACAUAUAUUUUUUUGGGAAAAUAUCAAGUAUAUAAUAUAUACUGAAAACCAAAAGCCCACUCACUGGUAAGUCGAAGGGUUGUAGCCCCCGAGUCACCCUUGGAUACGCUCGUCCUCGGGAUAAGUCUCACCUAUAUGCGAAAUAACUAUAAAAAUGUUAUUUUAGAGCACAUAGACAAAACUAGCUAAUAACUUCUCAUACAAUGCUCAAAAUGGGUAUAUGAAUAUAACACAGUGACCUACACAACCUCAGGAUCAUCCCUAAAUUUUUAGAUUAAUUUUUGGACCCCUUACGUGUUGCCACGCGCAGGCCAAGGCAAGGCAAUACGCGCCCCACUCGCGGCCAAGUGAUAGGUAUAUACCGGGGAAUAUUCUGUUAAGUCCUAACGGAAUCCAUCCAAACUAACUGACGGCGUCGGAAUAUUCCAUCAGACUUGACGGAAUAUUUCGUCGUCUCCUACCUCAGAACUCCGGCGACUAUCGUCGGCGCCAGAAAACUGGGAAAAUUUUAAGCCUUGAUAUCUUGACCAUUUUUGCACCAUUUUUCACGAUCUUUAUACCAAA